rnacentral:tRNA from 1 species
GACCGCAUAGCUCAGUUGGAAGAGCAUUGCACUAGUAUUCCAAAGGUCGUAGGUUCGAAUCCCACCGUGGCCG